GAUGAACGCUGGCGGCGUGCCUAAUACAUGCAGGUCGAGCGAACGGACGAGAAGCUUGCUUCUCUGAUGUUAGCGGCGGACGGGUGAGUAACACGUGGAUAACCUACCUAUAAGACUGGGAUAACUUCGGGAAACCGGAGCUAAUACCGGAUAAUAUUUUGAACCGCAUGGUUCAAAAGUGAAAGACGGUCUUGCUGUCACUUAUAGAUGGAUCCGCGCUGCAUUAGCUAGUUGGUAAGGUAACGGCUUACCAAGGCAACGAUGCAUAGCCGACCUGAGAGGGGGAUCGGCCACACUGGAACUGAGACACGGUCCAGACUCCUACGGGAGGCAGCAGUAGGGAAUCUUCCGCAAUGGGCGAAAGCCUGACGGAGCAACGCCGCGGGAGUGAUGAAGGUCUGCGGAUCGUAAAACUCUGUUAUUAGGAAGAACAUAUGUGUAAGUAACUGUGCACAUCUUGACGGUACCUAAUCAGAAAGCCACGGCUAACUACGUG
rnacentral:rRNA from 1 species